AUGUACCCACGUACACUCCGGGUCCUCCGCGCCGUCCGUACCCACCUGACGGCUGCUCGCUACGUUUUGUUAGCC
rnacentral:sRNA from 1 species